rnacentral:rRNA from 1 species
UACGGGGGGGGCAAGCGUUGUUCGGAAUUACUGGGCGUAAAGCGUGCGCAGGCGGUUGUGUAAGACAGAUGUGAAAUCCCCGGGCUUAACCUGGGAACUGCAUUUGUGACUGCAUGGCUGGAGUGCGGCAGAGGGGGAUGGAAUUCCGCGUGUAGCAGUGAAAUGCGUAGAUAUGCGGAGGAACACCGAUGGCGAAGGCAAUCCCCUGGGCCUGCACUGACGCUCAUGCACGAAAGCGUGGGGAGCAAACAGG